rnacentral:rRNA from 1 species
GAGCGAAUGGAUUGAGAGCUUGCUCUCAAGAAGUUAGCGGCGGACGGGUGAGUAACACGUGGGUAACCUGCCCAUAAGACUGGGAUAACUCCGGGAAACCGGGGCUAAUACCGGAUAAUAUUUUGAACUGCAUGGUUCGAAAUUGAAAGGCGGCUUCGGCUGUCACUUAUGGAUGGACCCGCGUCGCAUUAGCUAGUUGGUGAGGUAACGGCUCACCAAGGCAACGAUGCGUAGCCGACCUGAGAGGGUGAUCGGCCACACUGGGACUGAGACACGGCCCAGACUCCUACGGGAGGCAGCAGUAGGGAAUCUUCCGCAAUGGACGAAAGUCUGACGGAGCAACGCCGCGUGAGUGAUGAAGGCUUUCGGGU